AUGUCAGAAGUGGGCACCUCCCUGGGGACAGGAGAGAAAUCACAGCCUCACUUCUUCCUGCCCACUGCAGCCAAAGGGCAAUUGGGAUUCACAGUUCUCCAAUGUGUUUUCCUAACAGCUCAUGCUAAGGAAGAAAAGGUUCAGAACAGAAGUAUGCAGAGCAAAGAACACGGUGGGAACAGAAGAGUCACAGAUAUUGUGGCUAAUAUUGCUUUGUGAAAGCAGACAUUGAAACUGCUUGGUUACAUCCUGGGCUUUUGCACACCAAUGGUACUCUGGAAAACCCUACUUUCUUAUUGAAUCUAUGUAUAUAAGUAAGUACAUUACAAAUAUGUGCAUUUUAUUGAUAUUUCAUUUAUGAUUAGAGUCUUUUAUUUUAUUUUAUUUUACUUAUUUAAUGAUUGGGCACUGAAAAAGGUCUUGGCGCAUAGUAUUGGGCAAAGUGGAGAUGGGUUUAAUGUGGCAUGGAAAACAUAAAUUCAGUUGGCCAGGAUCAUGGAGAGGGGGAAUUAUCCCUAUGGGAGGAUAGCAGGUGGAUUAGUUACUGGGCUGCAUCUGCAAUAAGCAAUUAAAGGAAAACAUCUGUUUCACAUCAUCUAUUUCUUCUCUUCCAGGACACUCCUCUGGUUUGUCUCUGACAUCGCAACCUGGAGACAAGUCAUUUCUCUAACGAGGCCAUGCAAACAUCAUGUGUUCCUCCGUGGAAAGAAGUGGAGAAGGCCAGGAGCAACAGUACAAAGUAAGUAACAUCCGGAAACAUCUCUCGACUCUCUUGUUUUAUUUUCUAUUAGAUUCUCCCUUGUUCCAACUCAAGAUAGAUCUGUUUCCAGUGACUCGAGAGUAGAAGUGCAGAAAAUAGAUCCUGGAGCCAGCUCUGCUGAGUGACUCAUAGUAUCUCUGCUGCCAUCUUGAGUAAGAGGAAAGUCUGAGCACCGGGUCAACAUUUUCCCGUCAGAGCUGCUCAGAGUGGAUUUGUUAAAUUAGCCAGAGCAAAGUGGUAUCUGAUGUGCAAUGCAUUGUGAAGCCUCUGUUUGAGCCAGGAGAGGUUUCCAUGUUCUGUAGUGCUUCAGGGUAUCUGUGGCUGAUGAUGAGUAAAAGCAAAGAACAAAUGAAACGUAAAUGCUGCACUUUGCAUCAUAUAUCAUUGCAAGCAUGAUUUCUUUGUGCUCUUGAUGCAUUUAACUGGACUGAGUUCUGUUCAAUAUUAUAAUACACUUGAAAUAACCCUGCUUAAAUGGAUUGAUUCUGUAGUGCUGGUGAAGAUUUACAU
rnacentral:lncRNA from 1 species